CAUAGGUUAAUGAGGCGAACCGGGGGAACUGAAACAUCUAAGUACCCCGAGGAAAAGAAAUCAACCGAGAUUCCCCCAGUAGCGGCGAGCGAACGGGGAGCAGCCCAGAGCCUGAAUCAGUGUGUGUGUUAGUGGAAGCGUCUGGAAAGGCGCGCGAUACAGGGUGACAGCCCCGUACACAAAAAUGCACAUGCUGUGAGCUCGAUGAGUAGGGCGGGACACGUGGUAUCCUGUCUGAAUAUGGGGGGACCAUCCUCCAAGGCUAAAUACUCCUGACUGACCGAUAGUGAACCAGUACCGUGAGGGAAAGGCGAAAAGAACCCCGGCGAGGGGAGUGAAAAAGAACCUGAAACCGUGUACGUACAAGCAGUGGGAGCACGCUUAGGCGUGUGACUGCGUACCUUUUGUAUAAUGGGUCAGCGACUUAUAUUCUGUAGCAAGGUUAACCGAAUAGGGGAGCCGAAGGGAAACCGAGUCUUAACUGGGCGUUAAGUUGCAGGGUAUAGACCCGAAACCCGGUGAUCUAGCCAUGGGCAGGUUGAAGGUUGGGUAACACUAACUGGAGGACCGAACCGACUAAUGUUGAAAAAUUAGCGGAUGACUUGUGGCUGGGGGUGAAAGGCCAAUCAAACCGGGAGAUAGCUGGUUCUCCCCGAAAGCUAUUUAGGUAGCGCCUCGUGAAUUCAUCUCCGGGGGUAGAGCACUGUUUCGGCAAGGGGGUCAUCCCGACUUACCAACCCGAUGCAAACUGCGAAUACCGGAGAAUGUUAUCACGGGAGACACACGGCGGGUGCUAACGUCCGUCGUGAAGAGGGAAACAACCCAGACCGCCAGCUAAGGUCCCAAAGUCAUGGUUAAGUGGGAAACGAUGUGGGAAGGCCCAGACAGCCAGGAUGUUGGCUUAGAAGCAGCCAUCAUUUAAAGAAAGCGUAAUAGCUCACUGGUCGAGUCGGCCUGCGCGGAAGAUGUAACGGGGCUAAACCAUGCACCGAAGCUGCGGCAGCGACACUAUGUGUUGUUGGGUAGGGGAGCGUUCUGUAAGCCUGUGAAGGUGUACUGUGAGGUAUGCUGGAGGUAUCAGAAGUGCGAAUGCUGACAUAAGUAACGAUAAAGCGGGUGAAAAGCCCGCUCGCCGGAAGACCAAGGGUUCCUGUCCAACGUUAAUCGGGGCAGGGUGAGUCGACCCCUAAGGCGAGGCCGAAAGGCGUAGUCGAUGGGAAACAGGUUAAUAUUCCUGUACUUGGUGUUACUGCGAAGGGGGGACGGAGAAGGCUAUGUUGGCCGGGCGACGGUUGUCCCGGUUUAAGCGUGUAGGCUGGUUUUCCAGGCAAAUCCGGAAAAUCAAGGCUGAGGCGUGAUGACGAGGCACUACGGUGCUGAAGCAACAAAUGCCCUGCUUCCAGGAAAAGCCUCUAAGCAUCAGGUAACAUCAAAUCGUACCCCAAACCGACACAGGUGGUCAGGUAGAGAAUACCAAGGCGCUUGAGAGAACUCGGGUGAAGGAACUAGGCAAAAUGGUGCCGUAACUUCGGGAGAAGG
rnacentral:rRNA from 1 species